UCGAGAAUCUUCCGCAAUGGGCGAAAGCCUGACGGAGCGAUGCCGCGUGAGGGAUGAAGGCCUUCGGGUUGUAAACCUCUGUCGCCCGGGACGAAAUUUGACGGUACCGGGAGAGGAAGCUACGGCUAACUACGUGCCAGCAGCCGCGGUAAUACGUAGGUAGCGAGCGUUAUUCGGAUUUACUGGGCGUAAAGGGUCUGCAGGGGGCCUGCCAAGUCUGGCGUGAAAUUCCAAGGCUCAACCUUGGAACUGCGUUGGAUACUGGCGGGCUAGAGUGCAUGAGGGGAGAACAGAAUACCUGGUGUAGCGGUGGAAUGCGCAGAUAUCAGGUGGAACACCGACGGCGAAGGCGGUUCUCUGGCAUGCAACUGACCCUGAGGGACGAAAGCGUGGGGAGCAA
rnacentral:rRNA from 1 species